GCCAAAUCGAUUGGGGCCUGAAAAACUGAUGAUUGAGCAAAGCUCGCUGACCUGAGCUAAAAUUGCGCAGCCGUUGACGUGGCGAGACCUAAUUCGGUAACCCGGUUCCUCUCCCACCACAUACACAUCAAUCCGUCUCCAGUGCUGAGCUCGAACGCAAGCGUCAGAUUUUGGUCGUAACAUCGAAUUUGAGUAAUUUCAAUCACAAUAUUGUUUACCAACUUGUAUUUGUUUCAAUUAUUUUCAAAUUCCAGAAUUUGGUGAUCUUCCCCUCCCCCAAUUAGCUUUUGAUCUUUUCUCCUUCUCUUCUGUCAAUAUUUGAUUCGAAAAUGUGAGAUUUUUCUUUCACUGUUAUGAAUUUGAAAAUCAUUGUUGGUGAAGUGCAUCAAGUUGAUCAAUGUAUUAGUUUCUUUAUUCGAAUUUGACUACUUAUUUCCAAAUUGCGUCUCAUUGCCUGUUGAACAGUGCUGCAUGCUCUACAUAAUCCACAAGUUGCUGAAAUAAUUAGUACGUUUCUAGGAAUGGUUUUAUUUUGUUUACUCACCUCUUCGCCAUGACAUCAUUGAACCUGGAAUUUCAGUGUUCAGUCACCUUAUUUCCUAGAUUUGCAAGCUCUGUUUUAUUGUACUAUAUUUUUAUAUAUGUACAUUACAUAUUUUAGGACAUGUAUAUGAUUUAUAUAAUGCUUAUUUUCACAGAUGAAACAUUUGAGUUAUGCGGAUUUGUUUAGUGAUUCUUUAAGCAUUAGAAAUAUGAAUUACUAGUAUACUUCAUAUUCUUAUUUAGAAAUUAAUGUAGUACUAUGUUUUUUUUAAAUUUCUCUAUGUCAGUGAGUGUUUUCUAAAUCCUUUUGAGUGGCAGAGAAAUAACUCAGCAAGGAUAGCUUAAACAUGUCAGCUCUCUUCAAUUUCCAUUCGUUCCUGACAGUAGUAUUGCUGGGCAUAUGUGUCUGCACAGUGCACAUAUUUGAAGAUGCAGUUUCCUGCGCUUCUUGAACAUAGAACUGGGUUUCGAGGGGUUUUCUGGAAAGCUGCUACAAUAGGUGGCCGUGGGGAGCUUUGCAAUGGGGGUUUCAAUAAUUUUCUUCUAAACAGACUCUCUGUCUGUUAGACGUUCUUCUUUGCUGCGUUCAAUUGCUGCUUCAGCGCUUUCUUCGACUUCAGAUUCUGUACCCCAGUGAAGUGGAUAACUCCUCAGGAACACCCUUCUUGUGUUGUAGUCUUCGUCCCUGAAACUUUUUGCUCUCAGUCCAUCUUCCUCCAUGCUGUUGAUAUCUUAUUUUUACUUGCUCCUAGUACCAACCUCCGAGACACUCUGUUUUAUAGGUGCCUCGACAAUGCGUGAGUGAGUAUGUGCUGUAUUAAGCUUACAAAAUGCGUAUAACAAUCCCUUUUGAGUUCCUAUUGUGUUAACUAGUUUUUAUUUGUAUACUGCAUUUGUCGUUUAUCGAUUUCAGGUGUGAAUACUUUAGAAGUAUUUGCUUUGUGGCAGCGCAUGACAGGCAAAGAUGGUGCAUUCUAUGCUGCUGCACUUCCUAGGUGAUUUAUUUAUCUUUGAUGAGAGCCAUUUCAUGAUUGUGCUUUUUUGGAAUCUUUGGGUCUGUCCAAUUUAUUGAUCUUGUUAGCUUGUGCAUGACGUAGAAGAUGUUUGAGGAAUUUGGAACUGUCACACUUGAUUGGCCGGAAUUCUAUUUUGGAAGCUUUCUACCAUUGGCCAUUAAUUCGGAUAUGAGAAGCUCUUUCGGAUAUGAGAAGCUCUUUUUUAAAGUCCAAGUUUGUGAGAGACAUAUGAACCUCAUGUAUGUCUCAUAUGAAAAUGUACGAGUCUUAUGCGUCUUUUCAUCUACUUCUUCUUCUAUUGGACUCAAUUCAAGUGAAAGCUACAUGAAUCUCAUAAAA